rnacentral:rRNA from 1 species
UGGGGAAUAUUGGACAAUGGGCGCAAGCCUGAUCCAGCCAUGCCGCGUGAGUGAAGAAGGCCCUCGGGUUGUAAAGCUCUUUUGUCCGGAAAGAAAAGCUUUCGGUUAAUACCCGGAAGUCAUGACGGUACCGGAAGAAUAAGCACCGGCUAACUUCGUGCCAGCAGCCGCGGUAAUACGAAGGGUGCAAGCGUUACUCGGAAUUACUGGGCGUAAAGCGUGCGUAGGUGGUUCGUUAAGUCUGAUGUGAAAGCCCUGGGCUCAACCUGGGAAUUGCAUUGGAUACUGGCGGGCUAGAGUGCGGUAGAGGAUGGCGGAAUUCCCGGUGUAGCAGUGAAAUGCGUAGAGAUCGGGAGGAACAUCCGUGGCGAAGGCGGCCAUCUGGACCAGCACUGACACUGAGGCACGAAAGCGUGGGGAGCAAACA